rnacentral:lncRNA from 1 species
GGCUGUCGUUGAGCAGCGCGUCGGAGGCGAGCAGCGCCCGGUGGUUGUAGACGUUGUUGUAGUACCCCAGGUCGAAGGUGCUGGGCGUCGUGGGGUCGAGCGGCUGCACGGUGGCGACGUUGCCCGGCUUGCACUUCGCCGUGAGGUUCUUGGCGUAGUCGGCGUCGACACCAUGUGUAAGCCAAUACAUUAUUCCUUCCCGAGUACAGCACUACUCAUCUGUGAUCAUGUUCCUCAACGUUGCCCGGCUUGCACUACUCACGGUGAAGCUAAUGGUGAUUGGAGCUGCAGGUGUUGCUAGCUGGGGCUGUUGGCUCCUGCACACUGGGUGGCCUGGCUAGCUUAUAUAGAUGGAUGGAUGGAUGGAUGGAAUGGAGUGGAGCAGAGAAGUCGCCGGGAUGCAUGGAAGGUGGCGGUCGUGUCGUCAGAGCCUACGCCUGCUGGAAUAAUAGUACUGUAGUGACUGACAGAUCAUGCAGGCAUGGUUGACGGCCGGGGUUGGUGGCCGGACAGACGGGAGACGCGGCAAUUCUUUUGACCGCGCUCGCAGUCGCAGCAACCCCAAGCCAAGCCAAGGUAGCUGUUGGGAGGGAGGGACUCAGGGGGUGUUUGUUUCUUUAGCACAUUCUAAAAUUCAUGUCACAUCGAAUGUUUAGAUACUAAUUAGAAGUAUUAAGAUGGAGACUAAUUUGCGAUACGAAUCUAUUAAGCCUAAUUAGUUCAUGAUUUGACAAUAUGAUGCUACAGUAAACAUGUGCUAAUAAUGGAUUAAUUAGGCUUAAUAGAUUCGUCUGGUGAAUUAGCCUCCAUCUGUAUAAUUAGUUUUAUAAUUAGCUCAUGUUUAGUCCUCCUAAUUAAUAUCCGAAUAUUCGAUGUGACAUAAAUUUUAGGAGGUCCUAAAGAACCAAACAGCCCUUCACUCAACUACCCUGUUCUUGCCGUCGACCCGGUACCUGCGUAUUGCAGAUAAAAUGGCAAUGUCCUUACUGCUCUAUCUCUUCCUUGCAGCAUACAACGGGGAUUAUUCACGGAUGGCCAUGUGCAUUUGCUUAAUCAUCAUGUGAACCAAACCGAACCAAAGCAACAGUGAUUAGCAAUGAUUGUGGCCUGUGCAUACGCACCAUCUUACUUAGUUUACAUACACAUCCAUCAUCGAUCGUCGGUUGGCUGCGCAUAUAUAUAUAUAAAUUAACGUUUGUUUACAGGUCUCCACGUUAGUGUGGAAGCUAAUUGCAUUGGGAGACCCAAAAGUCCGGCAGCUAGCUAACCUGUGUUCAUGGCUUCCACGAGCUAGCUAGUAGCUAGCUUAUUGUUAACUAUUCUAAACACUUGUAGGAUAUAUAGAAGUUGCUUUAGAUUGCCGUUUAUAUUCAUUAGGCGUUUACAUUGAAUGGAAGCAUCAUCCCAUCUCUGCAAAUACUAAUCAAUCGAAAGGGAACUCAUCACCUUGGUCAUCAGGUUCUAUUGACAUGUCUGUAUACAUUGACACCUUCUACUGUCAUACAUAUACAUAUAUUCUUCAUCUGUGCAAUUAGUUUUUGUAAUUAGCAUAUGUUUAAUACUACUAAUUGGCACACCGUGCAGGGAAACAAUACGGUCAAGAUACAACUCUGCAUAUUUCUUGGCUGUGUAGGUGGUGUGAACAGGAAGAAAGUGUGCAGACUUGGUGAGACGGUCCACGAUAACCCAAAUGGAGUCAUGCCGCUGAGAUGUAGGGGGAAAUCCCACAAAGAAAUCCAUGCUAAUGUCUUCCCAUUUCCAUGAUGGAAUAGGUAGCGGUUGCAAGGUACCCGCUACCUUCAAAUGGCUUGCAUUGACACGUUGACACGUGUCACACUCCGAGACAUAGCGUGAAAUUUGCGAUUUCAUUCCACUCCACCAAAAAAUUUGACGGAGAUCAUGAUACAUUUUAUUGUUGUCAGGAUGGAUUGAGAAUUUGGAGAGAUGUGUUUCAUCUAGGAUUUGCUUCUUGAGAGCUGGGUUAGAUGGAACAACAAGUCGGUUCUCAUAGUACACUCUCCCAUUUUCAUCCUGUCAAAAAUGCUUGUACCCUUCAUCCUUCUGUGCAAUCUUUCUUUUAAUUAGCUUUAAUUCCUCAUCCUCUAACUGUGCCGACCCAAUUUGGUCUUCCAAAGCAGAUUCAAGAGAAAUAUGACCGAGGGUUCCAUGGGAAAUGAUCUCCAAACUAAAUUUUCCCAUCUCAUGAUACAGAGUUUCUGUAAAGUUGGUUGCCGAUAAGCAAUUGCAAUGGGUCUUGCGGCUGAGAGCAUCUGCUACUACGUUGGCUUUGUCUAACCAAAUGCAACCCCUAGCCAUUAGCUAACUAAAUUUUAGUUGAGGAGAAUCAAACAGGACCUUACUCUAUACAAGUACUGAUUAUUUUCACUUGCCUAACCAAAUGGACUACCUUACACCCGUUUCUUGAUGGGAAAUAGAAAACCAGGAUGUAAAAUAUGGGGAAUUCUAGGACCAAUAAAAAAAUAAGCAAGUUGCAGCACGAGCACAUGGCAAUUUGGUAAUGCGCGUAACAUGUAGUCCCGCCCCGUCUGCAUGGUUGCAUCCCUAUUCCCGCUCGUCACCGCUCGUCAUUUUAUAUGCAAGAACUGGGGCAUUCCGGCCUAGCUCAUCCUGGGAGCCAACUAGAAUCCACCCUAGCUCCGUAAUAGCCACCCCGUUCACAGAACGGAGCUCGCCGGUGAGCACGGUGAGCACGCUUAUCCCUCUCUUCUCGUUCUGGCAAGCUCCACGUCUGAGACACUUAGUGUUAUUGACUCGCUGAUGAGUACACGUCCUCCCUCCUGGCACAGAUCUGUGCGCUGCUAGCUGCAGCGUCGACUUAUUUCUCCCUCCAGCAAGUACCACGGCGGCCGGCGUCGGGGAUCUCCUCUCCUGGUGAGCCACUCUGAUCCAAUUCCCUUGCACACAUGCACCUUAUUUGCUCGCACGCAACCAGCUAGCUAGUAGCCUCUCGAUUAUCGCGUGUUCUCAUGUGAUAACGUUGUUCUUUGUUCUGUUUUGUGUUCUUUCCUAUUGGAAACGAGACUCGUCAAGCAGUAGGUCGAUCCGCAUGCACCCAAACACCGCAGGCGCGGCAGACCGUCCAAAACGCCAACAGCUUCACCGCCACCUCUAGCUAAGUGGUGUUUGGAUUCAAAGUUCACGGAUUAAAAUUUAGCUCCUAAAAUUUAGCUCCUAAAAUUUAGCCCCUAAAAUUUAAUUUUGCUGGGGUGUUUGGAUCCAUGGGCUAAAUUUUAAUCCUCAUCAAACAAUGACUGAUUUGCCCUCCCUCCUCCUCCUCUCCCUCUCUCUCCUCUCCCCUUCGCCGCUGCUCCCUCCUCACCACACGCAUCAUGCUGCGCCGCUGCUCCCUCCUCACUCCCACUACCACCACCACUAGCAGCAGCGAGAUCCGAGGGCCGGCGCGCUCCAGCUCCUCCCGCCUCUCAUCCACGCGAGCUCGGGCGACGCCGGAGGCGGCGGGGCUGGAGGAGGCGGGAGGCCGGAGGCGGCGGGGCCGGAGGAGGCGGGGGGGGGGGGCGGAGGCGGCGCGGCCGGCCGGAGGAGGCGGGGGGCCGGAGGCAGCGGGCUCGGGCAGAGGCGGGGGGCGUGUGGGAGGCGGAGGAGAGAGGAAGUGCGGGAGGGGCAAGGCACGGAGGUGGAGGAGAGAGGAAAGGGGGCAGGGGUGGAAUUUGUGGUCCAGGUUCACUUUUAGCUCCUUUUAGGACCUCUUUGGGGGCUAAAAUUUAGCUCCAAAAUUUUAGCUAUUUAUCACUUUUAGCCCUCCUGUUUGGAUCCCAAGAGCUAAAUUUUGGGCUAAAAGUGCAGAGCUAAAAUUUAGCCCUUGGAUCCAAAUAGGCCCUAAGAUCUACUGCGUGACCUUUGCUUGUUGCCCAUAUAUGCUUGAAUUCGAAUAUCUAGACUUGUAGAGCACUUUCAUGUUUCAAUUUGGAUGAGCAGCAGAGACUUUGUGUCUCACCGGAAAAUGCCCUUUUUCUGUCUUGGAAAAUGUACCUAAGAGCUGGUCCACUGUCAGUGAUGUCGUCAAAGCCUCAAAUUGUUAUAGAGUAUGGCUAAUAAUUUAGCCAUUGCUGACUUUAUACUAUUGCCAUGGUCAUAAACAAUCAAACUGAACGCGCCGCACACCCAGCACUGUACCCUAAUUAACCCAUUAGUUCCGUUGUGGUGUGGGCACGUGGCCAGCACGUGACCGUCACCAUCAUCGGCCAGCACGUUUGGUGCUAAUGAAAGUCAGGGGGAAGCAGGGAGCUGCUAAUCACUCGUUGGACGUGCGCUGCGGCCGCCGGAAGUCUGUGUGACGGUGAGACAAUCUCGACUAGGUUUUUCCCGUUCUCGGCAUUGGUCGUGCUCGAGGUGUCAUGGCCGGCCGAUGGUGGUGUGUCAAUGUCUCAAAAGCAUUCUUUUUUUCUUGCACUACGUCAGAAAAUGUUUUUCUGGCGGUCACAGAUUGGUCUGGGCUGGUGGAUGGCAUAACCACCCGCAAGUAUAGUGAGCUCACUCUGCUGGUGGGUGGUUGGUAGCCCGCUAGCACAGUAAUUUUUGAAUAAUAAAAAAAAAUGGCGACCAGUGUCGCCCGUACGCCGCCGCUCGUCCCGCCCGCCGGCCGGGCGCCCGCUCGCCUGGGUCUCCGCUCGUUCUCGCACUCCUUUGGGGGCCGAGAUGCCUCUACCCGCCGUGGUUUGGAUCUGCUAACCCUUCCUUUGGAGACGAAGCCAAGGUGCUGACGCAAAAUCAAGGUGCAGAUGCCCCGCUGCCCCGUCCUUGCGGCCAGCUGGAUGUCCGGCCGCUCCCACCACUGCUCCUGCAGCCGCUCCCACCGGGGUCGCGAGCAGCCGGGGAAGACUCAGCCGCUGGAGGCCACGCGCGCCGCUCGCCGCAGGAGCCCCCGUCGCGUACGCUGGGGAGGAAGGCCGGUGCGCGGAGGAGGAGCGCGGCCGCCGGCCGCCUCCAAUGCCGAGGGGCCGCGCCGCUGGCCGUGCCGCUCCGUCCUCCUGCUGCCCAGGUGCGGCGGUGCCCGCUGUGCUUGCCUUGGAAGAUGAAUGAAUAAGGGCUUCCUCCAAAAAUACCAACUUUGGCACUAUGCAAAAAAAAAAAUUCUCCAUCACAUCAAACUUGCGGUACAUGCAUGGAGUACUAAAUGUAGACGAAAUCAAAAACUAAUUGCACAGUUUUGUUGUACUUUGCGAGAUGAAUCUUUUGAGCCUAAUUAGUCAAUGUUUGGACAAUAAUUCACAAAUACAAACGAAAUGCUACAGUUGCACAUUUAUGGUAAAAUACAAACUUUGCCACUCCUAAUUUGGGAACUAAACAAGGCCUAAGGAGAGAGAGGGAGAGGGAAGGGAUAAGAGGGGGAAGAGAAGGUUCGGACCAAUGGGAGAGCUCGAUUUUGGAGACAAGGAUCGCUGACGUGGCGGAACGUGUUUCUUUCAAAACAUUAUAACCAAAUUUUAGAUAACUAAACGAUUUUAAAUAAAACAUUUAUCAACUACCAAAUUUUAUAUCUCGUUAAGCACUACAACUUUGAUAUAAAGUUUUAGGUUUAGAAAAAAAACCAUAUAUAGAAAAAAUCACAUUGAAUCAUCAUUAGGCUCAGAAUAGAAAAAAUAGAAACUGCACAAAUAAUAGAUUGUUGUAGCAAGUCACAAGUCACACGAUUUUUCACGCGCAAAUGCGCGUGAGCUGCGCGUGCGUGUAGCAACAGUCUCCUUCUCUCUCAUUUGCACCUAUUUUGGAUAGAGAAGAGACUCUCAUAUUUAAGCAAGGCAACCUCUCCUUGAACUAGCAAUAUGAGACUAAAAAUUGUACAUGCUUUGAAAUUUUCAGAUUGGGCCACACAUAGGCCUAAAUCCAACAGCUUCUGGUUGUGCAACUUUUGGUUGUGCAAUUUUCAAAUUGUGGAACUUUUGGUUAGUUUGCUUCUAAAAACAAUUUCAUUAUAUUUCGCUGUGCUGGUGAGCCACAUAAGCGCCCGCCAGCACAAAUGGGGAGCACUGUGCUGGUGGAUGCUUUUGUGGUCCGCCAGCACAGUGGCCACUGUACUGGCGGGUGCUCCCCCACCAACACAAGAAACCACUAUGCUGGCGGAUGCCAAUCACUUCCGCCAACACAGUAAUUUACCUGUACCAGCACAAAUCGUUUUUGUGUAGUGUUGAUUAAUGUUAGAAUCUUUUAGGAAUGCCUAAUUUUGUGUACAUACUCAUUUUGUCCCAAAAUCUAGCUAUUUUUAGGUUUGUACUAAGUUGAACUAUUUUAGGUAUGACCAAAUUGACGUAAAAAUAUAUCAAAAUAUUGAUACCAAAUUAAUUAGUAUUAUCAAAAUAAACAUAAAAUAUAUUUUCAUGGUAUACUCAUUUGGUGUUAUAGACGAGUAUUUGAUUGAUUUAUAAUUAAUGCGAAGUGAUUAGUGCGGACGAGCGAUGAUAUGUAUUUAUCGUACUUCAACCGUGUUAAUUAAUUAGGCGCCUAACCAGCAGCUUGCUUACAUGUCUUUAAUCAACUUAUCCAGAGGAAGAAUGACCAGCAGAGUCGAUAGAAAUGCCGGUCGUCAUCAUUACCUUGGGCUCAUUGACGGGAAAUGGCCAGAAGUUCAUUUCAUCAACGACUAUGCGGUGUUCAUGGGUUACCUGUCAAUGGCUGUGACGGGGACAGGCAUCCUGGUCCUUACGUGGUCCACCGUUGUCCUCCUAGGUGGAUUCGUCACCCUGCUAGCGAGAGAGGACUUCUGGAGUCUCACGGUGAUUACACUCGUUCAGACAAGUGAGUCAAUCUCAGGACUGUUUCUUUUAUUAUUUCACUGUUUUUGUGACUAAUCUCCCUCAAUUGCGAGAAGAAAUUUCUAGGUUUGUCUGGUUCAUGAUAAACAUUAUUUACUGGUAGCUAGGUUAGUUUAGCUUAGAUUCGGCAACUAAAUUACCUAGCAUGUUGCGUUACUAUAGUACUAGGAAAUGUUGGAACAGAAACGGGAAGACAUCAGCGCCAAACCGUUGGGGGAGGACUAAGGUCAGGUUUGGUUUCUCCUGCUUAUUUUUAGCACUCGUCACAUCGAAGCACUCGUCACAUCGAAUGUUUAGAUACUAAUUAGAAGUAUUAAACGUAGACUAUUUACAAAACCCAUUACAUAAGUGGAGGCUAAACGACGAGACGAAUCUAUUAAGCCUAAUUAGUUCAUGAUUUGACAAUGUGUUGCUACAGUAAAUAUUUGCUAAUGAUGGAUUAAUUAGGCUUAAUAGAUUCGUCUCGCCAUUUAGCCUCCACUUAUGUAAUGGUUUUUGUAAAUAGUCUACGUUUAAUACUCCUAAUUAGUAUCUAAACAUUCGAUAUGACAUGUGCUAAAAAUAAGCAAAGGGAACCAAAUGCCCCCUUAGGUUGCCUACAGGCCUGGGCCGGACUAACACUCCCAAGUAGCUAGAGAUGGCAAUGUGCAAUUGAAACCCGAGUACCUGAUGAUGGGUUUUAUCCGAUAAUAAGGAGGCGGGUAUGGAAACAUAUCUUUACCUGCGGGUGUAUUAAUGGUCAAAAAAACAUCUACCUGUCGGGUAAACGGGUGUGGGUAUAGAUGUAUACUACCCAUACCCCGCAUACCCAUGGGUAAAAUAUACCUAUCUAUAAUAGGUGAUGAGUUUAUAAAUUUAUACUUUGUUGGUGAGGGGUGACUUGGUAUUACUAAUAACUAAUAAUUUUCUUAUUUGUAAUACUAUUGAUUGGUUAAAAAUUGUCACAUGUCUUGCUUUUAUUUAUUCAUAUUUAUUGAUAUGUGCCUUUUAUAAUGUGUUAUGUUCACAAUCCUACUAUUCUAUAUCUACAAAUACCUGCACGAGUAUGGGUAUGGGUAAGUUCCUAUACAUGUACAUGGUACGGGUAUUUUAACAGGUAAAAUUAUAGUUGGCGGGUGCGGGUUAUAAGGUGGCAAUACCCAGCAGGUAUCUACCCGUUGCCAUCUCUACACCCAAGCUAAACCCAAACCGAAGCUAAACUAAGACUAAUAUGCAAAAUGAAAAGGUACUAAAAUGAAAGAAGACCUUUGGAUGGAGCUUUCCAUUAACUCCGGAUACUCUGCAUCUUUUUAUUUAAAAAAAAUCCCUAUUUAUAGAAAGUCGAACUGUAAUAAUCUAAAAUUAUAACUUAUUGCGACUAAAUGACUAAUCCCGGAGAACAUUCGAGACCAUAUCCCGCACAACAUUCGAGGACAAUUCAGUAACUACACCUCAUGUCACAUCACUUUUCAACCACUCUACCUUCGGCAUUAUCCGAAUUAUAGAGGUAGGGGUGGAAAUGUGGAUAUGGAUAUCGAAUUAUCCGAUAUUUGUAUCCCCUAAAAUGAUAAUAUGGAUAUCCGUAUUCAUAUACGAAUUUACCUAAAAUGAUAAUAUGGAUAUCCGUAUUCAUAUACGAAUUUACUAUGGUACCAAAAUGCAUAUUUCUAAAUUCGUUUUUCCUUGAUUUUCUCUAUCCGAUUUCACAUCCGUAUUCGACGCUAUUCAACACUAUCAAUAUCUAACAAUGUGAAACUAUAAAGUUAUCUCUAUAACUAAUGACAAAUGAUGUUAAUUUGAACAAUAAUAGUGACAUUGGCUGGUGAGGCACGUUGGCGGGCCGACGAGCGGGCCAGCUGGUGUGGCGAGCGCAAGCGGCUUGAGCUGGCAGGGAAGCUGGGCCAGGUGGGCUGGGUUAGAAGUCAGGUUUGGUUAGCUUUAGGUUUUUAGAUUUAGGUUUUGAUUUUUAGUUUUAAUUUUAGUUUGAAUUCAAAAUUCAAAUCUCACACAAAAGCAAGAGUUCAAAUAAAGCUCAAAAAGACCCAAAUCAGCCACACAUGUUUUGAAAAAGAAAUUUAGGUGAGAGUGAUUCAUAGCUUUUCAAAUGAGCACCACAUACAACCAUAAAGGUUUUUAAUUUUUUCAAAAUUUUCACACAUUCAAAUAUUACAAUUGUUGGGAAUAUUACAGUCUCCCCCCCAUGAGAAUCUGGUCCUCAAGAUUUAAGCUUUGACCUCCUCAAAUAGGUGUGGAAACUCCUUCAAAUCGGCCUUUUUCUCCCAAGUUGCCUCCCAAGUCCUCCUCGUAGCCUUCUCUGCACGGUCCAAGAUCUUGACCGGGUACUCAACAUACUCGAAAGUGUCCUGCAAGUGCUAUGCUACGCCUAUGGUGCGGAAAGAAAAGGGAUAUGAGGUGAUGGAGCUCACGGAGGCAGCUUGACCGAGAUGACGGCGGCGAUCUUCAACGGUGGCGGCGACUCCUAGACGUUAGCUCCGGCUCCUUACCGCAGAUGGUGCCCUCAUCCUUCUUCUCCCCCUUUCCUUCUUCUUCUUCCUUCCUUCCUUCUCCCGCGUACUAGGGUAACGGCGCGGGGGCAAGGGGUAAGGAGGUCUUUCCCUACCGGUGGAAGGCUCUAGAGGCGGGAGACGAUGCUCGGCCGGCGGGAGAGCAUGCCAGCACAGCGAGGGCCGCGUCCGUCACCCGACGCAUGCGGUGCGCGCAUGGUCUGCAGGAGGAAGAAGAAUAAUGGCCCCAGGUGGGCUGGGCCAGUGCGCAGGCGGCAAGUUGCUGGGCUGGCACGGCUGUGGGGCCGAAGUGGCGAGGCAGCCUGCUGAGCGCAAGCGAAGGGCCUGCUGGGCCGAAGUGGAGGGAAGCGUGCGGCUGCGGUAGCUAGGUUGGCGAGGCAUGUUGGCGGGCUAGCGAGCGGGCCAGCUGGUGCGGCGGCCGCAGACAGCCUAAGCUAGCACGGGAAGCUGAGCCAGGUGGGUAGGGUUAGAAGCCAAGUUUGGUUUGCUUUAGGUUUUUAUAUUUAGGUUUUAAUUUUUAGUUUGAAUUUUGGUUUGAAUUCAAAAUUCAAACCUCACACAAAAGCAAGAAUCCAAAUAAAGCUCAAAAAGACCCAAAUCAGCCGCACAUGUUUUGAAAAAGAAAUUUAGGUGAGAGGGAUUCAUAGCUUUUCAAAUGAGCACCACAUACAACCAUAAAAGUUUUGAAUUUUUUUCAAAAUUUUCACACAUUCAAAUAUUAAAUAUUUGCGAAUAUUACAAUAGGCCGACUGACUUGAUUAAGUCACCGUACCAAACCCAAACACAACAGGAGCCUACGUACGAAACAGCGUUCUAGUCGAAGACUGAGAUCCCUCGAUGUCAGGAGAUAGUCUAGGAUAUAUAGAUACAACACCGUAUCACCCCAAUAUAAGAUAGUCUAGGAUAUAUAGAUACAACACCGUAUCACCCCAAUAUAAAUAUAGAUGGUUAAACGGGCGGCCCAGCCCAGCCUGGCCUGGCCCGGGCAUGGUUUGGCUCAGCACGAUUCGGCCCAUAUAAUAAUCGUGUCAGGCCGAGCUGGCCCACGGGCUAAAGCAACAGCCCAAGCCUAGCACUAAAGGCUGUUAGCCAUGCCGGGCUAGCCCGAUGGCCCAUCGGCCCAUGAAAGCCCAUCGUGCCCAUUCUAGCCUGGCUUAGCUAAAAAAAAUCCUUCAUCAAAUUAAAUUUUUGAAGGCAAAAAUUUAGAGAUAUUUUACAUAUAAACACAUACAUUCAGAGGUAAUGAUCAUACAACGCAUAUACAAAUCACAAUUAAACGUGCUUAAACGUGCCUUGGUGGGCCGGCCACUAAUCGUGCCGGCCCGGGCUAGCCCAUGGGCUGACAUAGCGGCCCAGGCCUAACACUAAGGAUGAGUCGGGCUAGCCUGGCCCAUCUAAGACCGUGCCUGGAUCGGGCCAAAAUCCCGUGUCGUGGGCCAGCCCACGUGCCACGGGCCAUAUGGCCAUCUAUAAAUAUAAAUAGGUCUAGUACCUUCAUUUUAAGCAUCGAAACCCUAGCCUACAACACUUGUAACCUAGCACCCCCUUUGUAUUCACUGAGAUAAUACAAAACAUGACUGGACGUAGGGCGGCUUUUAUCUAAUAUAAUGGUUUCGUAAACUACAUGUUCCUGUUCCAUCUUGAUUGAUCUUCGAUGGAAUACAAGCCAAAUAUCAGCUCAUCCAAAUCGAUCGUCUAUAAUUAUCCUGUCUUUCAACCAUGAUGCUAGCUAGUAAACAAAUCAUUUAAGUCGGAAACCCGCUCUAACCCCCCAUGUUCUUGUUAAACAGCGUAUUCAAUGUUUUCCUGAAGAGGAAUGUGAGCCAUAUUGGGUAUUCGUUCAAGCGCCUACGGGAGUCCGCACUCUCCGUUGCGUUGGCGCGGAAGGAUCAGUACCGGCUCUGCAGUAUAAGGGGGAUGCUUCGACUGCUGGUGUUCACCAUUUUGCUGUGCCCGCUGUUUGGGCUGUACCUGUUUGGGCUGUUUGUAUCCCCCUGGAUCUCUCUGUGGCGUCUAUGGCGUACAAUUGUCAGGCACGGCCACAUGUUGGGAGGAGAUGCAAACUUGAAGCCGGCGCUACUGAUAUUGUACUCCCUGGCUCUGUUACAGGGCGUGCUCUUCUAUUACUGGGCCAUCUCUGCAUUCGAGGGGAAAAAGCUGGUGAAGCAAGUGGCCGAAGCAUACGAGAUAGACGAGGAAGACAAGGCACGCGAAACAGUAUCAGACUAUCUGCAAAUGAUCAGGGAGGGAUGCGAGAAGGACCUAUCGUUUGCCAAGGGCAGGAACCUCGUCACGUACGCUGUGGACCUGAUGGAGUCCAAUUCUCCCGACAACUACCUUUCCGCGGCAAGGAUCCUGGACACGCUUAUCCGGCAGUUGAAACAUACGGGGGAUAGGCAACAGACGCGGAUAAGGAGAAUGGUUGCAUCGGCAUCAAAUUCUGACGACAACACCGGGACAAGAUUUAACCUAACUGUUGUCAACCUGCCGCAGCGUGUGGUGAAGAACCAGCAAAGCCUGAUAAAAAACAUGAUCGGAUCGACAUUAUCCAGCGACACCGUCAAGAUAUUGGUUCAGAUGCUAGAUUCCAAAGACGAAGAUGGCAAAAAGAUCAGUGAGAUGAGGUUGCGUGCCAUGAGGAUUGUGGAGCAUUUUGCCAGCGAGAUCCGUCUGGACAAGAUCAUGUACGGUAUCAGGAACAUAUGUUCGUUGCUCGAACACAAAGAAUCGGAAUCGGAAGGAUCGGAAGACAAAUAUCAAGUGUAUCAAGUAUAUAGUACAGGCAUGAAGAUCCUCUCGAAGCUCGCCAAGGAUGAUGAAAACUUGAAGCACAUGAGCAACACGGAUGGCAUCAUCGAGAAGAUCGUCACGGUGAUUGUACAGUGUAACAAACUCCACUGCGAUGAAGAUCAUGACGAAUGGUUGACAAUAGCAGGGCCAGGCAUGCAGCUUAUAAACCAACUCGCGCCGUCUGCUAGUUCAAAACCCAACAAUGUGCACCAACUAAGUGCAUUUCUAUUACUCCAAAAUGGGAUCGGAACCCUACAGACUAUGAUCGACUGUCAAAAAUGCAAAGGGGAUGCUGAGGUGCAGAAAUCGCUCAUAAAGGCUCUAGCACAAAUGAUAUCCACCAUGAGUAUGAGUCAGCAGAAGUUGCACCAGGAAAACAAAGAAGGAACCAAGAAACUCAUACAAAGCUUCAUCAAUUCACUGGUACUCAAGUUUCUCGACGGCAGUAGCAAGAGCUUCAGAAAUUUGGCUGGUGAAUCGCUGGCGCAGCUGUCCCUCACAAGUCUAAACAGUACCAAGUCGAUCCUCAGUGCACAGGUUGGUAUUGCCGAUACCCUCACUGUUAUUGUAACGGACAAGAAAAGGAACAAGAAGUACAGAAAAAGUGCAGCAGAUAUCCUGGAGCAUAUGUGUAGGCAUUACAAUAGUGAUGACGCCGAUGCUUUCAAAAAUCUGAGUAGUGCAAUGAUCCGUGACAUUCCUAAGGUAUGCAAUCACUGUCAACUAGAGUAGUACUAGCUACCGUUUCCGCUAACCUUAUAGAUGAGCUGAUGAAUCCACGUCGCAGGUGGUAAUGGAAGUACUAAAGGGUGACUCCGAGAACCGCAGGUCGAAAAGCUACGUAGAACUGCACGAAGCGUUGGCAACCCUUUGUGAGACCGUAUACAUGAAACUGAUCAGCGGAACUGCUGAUUCGGUUCCGGACUCGGACGCCGCCGAAGCCAGCCUGGAAGCCGAAGCCGCCAAGAUCUGCCAGAGCAUCGAACUCCACCCGGCCGUGCCAUUCAGUGAACUUGUGAGCAGGGCACAAGAAGUCGUGGAGAAACAUAGAAAACGGUCAUUGGAGGAUUGGGCGGCCAAUUCUACGGACGAUGAUGACCACGCCUGUCGUAUCAUGUGACUGCGCAUGGAUUCUCUCGUGUCACCAGAUGCGAAGGAGAUCGAUGCGAAGGAGCCAGGGAGAUCAUCGAUCAUGGUGGCACUACUCUCAUGGUGUUGUGUGUCGCGGUGUCGCCGCGAAAACAGCUGUUUAAUUUGUAGCGACCUUUUAAUUUGUUCCUGAUCUGUUUACCGCGUCGUCCUCUCUUCUGAGAACUAUAUAUAUGUGUCGUGAGCAUUUGAGAUUAUUAUCAUGUAUUCCAUGUGUCCAUGUGUGCAAAAUUUGUAUCUGGCGUAACAAAAGAGCUUGAACAAUGAUCGAAGUCUUUAAGCUAAUUCAGUGUGGACCAUAUUCAUUAUGCAUUGAUUAAGGAAUGUAUAUUUAUUAGGGCAGAUCCAACUUCUAUGUGUAGUUUAUAUAAUGUCAUGUCAACAAGGCACUUAUUUAGAAACUACACUCUAGGAUCCAUAGUGUGGGUCCAUGAUAAAUUCACUCUCUUUGCUCUCCACCUAUUAUAUUUGUUUAUCGUCUAUUAUGGAGACACUAUCAUCUGCCAGUGCAAAAUUAGUAGUGUCUAGUGCAUAGGUUUGUAUGUUGAAACUAGAUCUUGUAUGAGAAUGCUUAUGUGGCAUCCUAUUAAAUGAGAAUGAAACCCUUAUGAAACCCCCACUGGAAUAACUUGAGAACCUAUUUCUUCCUCUCUAUCCACACUCUCUCUCUCAUUUAUUAUAGCGCCUCAUAACUCCUAUGUGGUUGUGUAUUUAAUGCUAUGGAAACCAUUCUAUAUGAAGGGUUGGAAUUGCCCUUAGCUCAUAGUACUUGCUACUAUUUAAGGUAUAUUAAUGUCCGGUGUUGUAUUAUCAAAGAAGUACUCCCAAAAUAGAAGUUUCAUAAAUUUAUUUUCCCUAUCUAAUUUAGAGAGUUGUUGUCAAUUUAGAUGGGAAAAAUAAAUUUGUUGUGAGAUGUUACAUUCUUGCUGCCUUGGAUGCUGGUGUUCUGUUUGAAAAAUAAAUUUUGAAUGCGACAGGUUCGAAUAGGUUUAUUCUAUUUACAAAAUAAUAUUUCAAAAUUUUGUUCCAAAAGGAAGUUUGAAAUCUAUAAAAAGAAAACUAGGUAUCUGCCAUCUCUCAACUUUAAAAUCUGUUUAUUUUUUAUCCCCUCUGCUGUUUUGAGAGUGGUUUCGCAUGACGUGGCGUUAGGUCCCACAUGUCUGGUGGUGGGUCCCACAUGCUAGUCAAUUUCUAGCAUGAGGGACAAAAAUAAACGAAUUUUAAAGUUAAGGGAUGGCAAAUACCCGGUUUUGCACAUGAGGGACGUCAAAUGCACUUUUUCCAUCUAUUUGCGCCGAGAGGUGAUGCUGUUUCUUUGGGCCGAACCUAUUGACCAGUUUGACAAGCCCAGUUGCUUAACAGGCUGCUGACACGACCCACGCUCGCAGCCCAGAAAACGAACCUCUCGUUGACAUGUAUGUCCCGGCGGGAUGGAUAAGUGGAAAUGAGCUAGCUAGAAAGCGUGUCGCCAGUUCAUACAGAUUCAUAUGACAAUUGGCCGAUGAUGCUAUAAUAUCUACGUGCAGAGCACAACAAGAUUCAUCAUCAUGAAUUCAAAUCACCAGUAUAUUGUUCAGUUUUGGCACAAAUUAACCAAUGAUUUAACCAUGCAUCCAACCAAUGUUUCAAAUAAUACAAUGCCAAGGACGACGUACAUUCAUGAACCACGCAUAAGAACAAAAUUAAAGUUAGGGAGAAGAAAAGAAGAAGAAGAAGAAGUGAAUAAUGGAAAAAUAAUCUCAAAUUAAAGCAGCGAUCAGUCGACGUAGAUUGCGCAUGUGGCCCUGAUCUCGCCGUCGGUGCCGGUGCGCACUCCGAUCCUUCCCAUGUUGAUCAUGGAGACGGCGAAGUCGGCGAAGAAGACGUCGACGGAGGAGGCGUUGGUCAUGAGUUGGACGUAGGCGCCGGAGAGGCUGUCGUUGAGCAGCGCGGCGUCGGAGGCGAGCAGCGCCCGGUGGUUGUAGACGUUGUUGUAGUACCCCAGGUCGAAGGUGCUGGGCGUCGUGGGGUCGAGCGGUUGCACGGUGGCGACGUUGCCCGGCUUGCACUUCGCCGUGAGGUUCUUGGCGUAGUCGGCGUCGAGCGAUGGGUCCUGGUCGCCGGCGCCGGUGUAGUUGUAGAGGCGGUUGGAGAAGGAGGGGCAGUGCGCGACACCGAUGGAGUGGGCGGCGGAGAGGACGACCAUGUCCUUGUAGCUGAG